rnacentral:rRNA from 1 species
GAAAGGCGUAGUCGAUGGGAAACGGGUCAAUAUUCCCGUACCGGACAUGAUUGCGAUGGGGGGACGAAGAAGGCUAGGUGAGCCAGGCGUUGGUAGUCCUGGUGAAAGUCGGUAGGCUGAGGGCUCAGGUAAAUCCGGGCGCUCAAGGCCGAGAGACGAGACGAAGACACCACGGUGUUGAAGUCAUCGAUGCCACGCUUCCAGGAAAAGCCUCUAAGCUUCAGAUCAUGUGCGACCGUACCCCAAACCGACACAGGUGGUCAGGGUGAGAAUCCCAAGGCGCUUGAGAGAACUCGGGUGAAGGAACUAGGCAAAAUGGUGCCGUAACUUCGGGAGAAGGCACGCCGGCGUAUUGUGAGAGCCCUCGCGGCUUCAGCGAGAACCGGUCGAAGAUACCAGGUGGCUGCAACUGUUUAGUAAAAACACAGCACUCUGCUAACGCGUAAGCGGACGUAUAGGGUGUGACGCCUGCCCGGUGCCGGAAGGUUAAGUGAUGGUGUUAGCCGUAAGGCGAAGCUCUUGAUCGAAGCCCCGGUAAACGGCGGCCGUAACUAUAACGGUCCUAAGGUAGCGAAAUUCCUUGUCGGGUAAGUUCCGACCUGCACGAAUGGCGUAAUGAUGGCCACGCUGUCUCCACCCGAGACUCAGUGAAAUUGAAAUCGCCGUGAAGAUGCGGUGUACCCGCGGCUAGACGGAAAGACCCCGUGAACCUUUACUAUAGCUUCACACUGGACGCUGAUGUUGCCUGUGUAGGAUAGCUGGGAGGCUUAGAAACCCGGACGCCAGUUCGGGUGGAGCCAGCCUUGAAAUACCAGCCUGGCAUCAUUGGCGUUCUCACUCAGGUCCGUUAUCCGGAUCGAGGACAGUGUGUGGUGGGUAGUUUGACUGGGGCGGUCUCCUCCCAAAGCGUAACGGAGGAGCACGAAGGUACCCUCAGCACGGUCGGACAUCGUGCAAUGAGUGCAAGAGCAUAAGGGUGCUUGACUGCGAGACAGACACGUCGAGCAGGUGCGAAAGCAGGUUCUAGUGAUCCGGUGGUUCUGUAUGGAAGGGCCAUCGCUCAACGGAUAAAAGGUACUCCGGGGAUAACAGGCUGAUACCGCCCAAGAGUUCACAUCGACGGCGGUGUUUGGCACCUCGAUGUCGGCUCAUCACAUCCUGGGGCUGAAGUCAGUCCCAAGGGUAUGGCUGUUCGCCAUUUAAAGUGGUACGCGAGCUGGGUUUAGAACGUCGUGAGACAGUUCGGUCCCUAUCUGCCGUGGGCGUUGGAUGUUUGAGAAGGGCUGCUCCUAGUACGAGAGGACCGGAGUGGACGCACCUCUGGUGUUCCGGUUGUCACGCCAGUGGCAUUGCCGGGUAGCUAUGUGCGGACGGGAUAACCGCUGAAAGCAUCUAAGCGGGAAGCCCCCUUCAAGAUGAGACAUCCCUGAGGCCUAGAGCCUCCUGAAGGGCCCAGCGAGACCAGCUGGUUGAUAGGCACGGUGUGGACGCGCUGCAAGGCGUUGAGCUAACGUGUACUAAUGGCCCGUGAGGCUUGACC